rnacentral:rRNA from 1 species
CAAUAGCGUAUAUUUAAGUUGUUGCAGUUAAAAAGCUCGUAGUUGGAUUUCGGGUGGGACGCAGCGGUCUCGCAUUGCGUUUGUACUGCUGCAGCCCUCCUUCUUGCCGGGGGCGGCCUCUCGGACUUCACUGUCUGGGGGUCAGAAUCGGCGAUGUUACUUUGAGUAAAUUAGAGUGUUCAAAGCAAGCUUACGCUCUGAAUAUAAUAGCAUGGGAUAACACGACAGUACUCUGGCCUAUCGUGUUGGUCUAUAGGACCAGAGUAAUGAUUAAGAGGGACAGUCGGGGGCAUUCGUAUUCCGUUGUCAGAGGUGAAAUUCUUGGAUUUACGGAAGACGAACAUCUGCGAAAGCAUUUGCCAAGGAUGUUUUCAUUGA